rnacentral:rRNA from 1 species
GAUGAACGCUGGCGGCGUGCCUAAUACAUGCAAGUCGAGCGAAAAGACGAGGAGCUUGCUCCUCUGACGUUAGCGGCGGACGGGUGAGUAACACGUGGAUAACCUACUUAUAAGACUGGGAUAAUUUCGGGAAACCGGCGCAAAUACCGGAUAAUAUAUUGAACCGCAUGGUGCAAUAGUGAAAGUCGGUUUUGCUGUCACUUCUAGAUGGAUCCGCGCCGCAUUAGCUAGUUGGUAAGGUAACGGCCUACCAAGGCAACGAGGCGUAGCCGACCUGAGAGGGGGAUCGGCCACACUGGAACUUAGACACGGUCCAGACUCCUACGGGAGGCAGCAGUAGGGAAUCUUCCGCAAUGGGCGAAAGCCUGACGGAGCAACGCCGCGUGAGUGAUGAAGGUCUUCGGAUCGUAAAACUCUGUUAUUAGGUAAGAACAAAUGUGGAAGUAACUAUGCACGUCUUGACGGUACCUAAUCAGAAAGCCACGGCUAACUACGUG